GCUGCAUCCAUGUUUUGGUGGAAGAUUCUGUCACGAAUCGUGAUGGAGCAGAGAUAGGACGGAUGCAAGUGCUGGAUGAACAGUUGUUUAUUAGAAAGAGAGACAGGCAGACAAAUCCAAAAUGUGAUCCAAAACGUAAUCCACAAACAUGCAAGAGGUCAGGCGAUUGGCAAACAGGCAUACACGGGGCAAGGCAGGAAUCUAGGUCGAUAAACAAUACAAGAAAUGAACUAUGACGAAGGGCUGGAAGCGGAUAAUCCAGCGUGAACUAACUCUAAACAUGGACCGUGACUAUGACUAUGACUAUGACUAUGACUAUGAUACGAGCUAAACUAACUCUAAAUAUGGACCGUGACUAUGACUAUGACUAUGACUAUGACUAUGACCUAAACUAACUCUAAACAUGGACCGUGACUAUGAAUACGCUACGAACUAAACUAACUCUAAAGUAUUAAUCUUCCGCGUUGUGUGCUGGGAGGCGCGCGGUAUAUAUGCGGAUAUGAUCAGCGUCUAAACCGCUAGCAGCUGAGAGCAAUUCAGACCCACGUGAAAUCGCAGCCAGUGACAGAACAGGUAGGAGACAUGACAGAAACAUAAACAAAACACACGUGUCCAGAUGUCAUUACAGUCAACAACGGAAAAGCAGGUGCUCGCGCAUUCGCGCUUAGAGCACGCUGCUUCAAGGGGGAAUCGUGACAAGAUGCCAGAUUUUAAUAUUCAGCUAAAGAAAAUAUACCUUCAGAAUUUGUGAAGAUGAGUCUACAUUCUGCAAUCUGGUGACAGAAAGUGGAAUAGAGGUGGACAGUAAUCGUUUGGAGUCAGAUGGUUCCUCUAGAGAUGAUCAUCAUUGCACCCAACAUUCACAGCAUGAGUCUUCAUUCUGUAAUAUGCAGGUGCCAGAUGAAACAUUUGCUGAUGACCAGUAUUGUAUACCGCAGUCACAAGUGGAAACAAGCACUCCUCAGAUAUUGAGCCAGACCUGAAACCAUCUACAGAGCUAGCCUAGAAAACCGCAUCUGAGCAAGCAACAGAACCAACCAGUACCACAUCUGUUCCCAAAGGUGUUAAGGUGGUAAAGAAAAAGAGAUGGGAGACCAGUGAAGUGAAAGCAGUUGAAAAACAUCUGUACAGGUUCAUAUAAACUUGCACAGCGCCAGGAAAAAAAACAUUGUGAGGCCUGUAUUAAAGCUGAGCCUGUUGCACUGAAAGGCAGGGAUUGGUUGUCCGUUAGGUUCUUUGUAAAAAAUAGAAUCACUGCCCUUAAAAGGAAAAUGUAACCCAGAAAAAGUCUGCAUGGUUUCAUUUGGUUUUAUUUGCACAGAUCAUUGGUAGUUUUAGUUUAUUAUUAUUAUUAUUAUUAUUAUUAUUAUUAUUAUUAUUAUUAU